rnacentral:lncRNA from 1 species
AAACCCUGAGGCGUCUUAAAACUGGGUGACCAGCAGCCAGUUUACAAGGAACCGUUUUGCUUUGCAAUCAGUAGUUUUCAAGGGAGCUUUUAAAGCUGAGCUGAAAUAUUUGAAAUGUGGAACACUCUUGACCAUGAAAUAUGUUCUACUUACAUGCCUCAGCCUCUAAAAGUUCUUUGCAUUACAGUCAGGGAUUACAUUCUUCCUGGAGCCAAGCGUGGGGCCAGCUGUGUAAGUAAGGUUGCUUCUGAGCUCUUCUUCUUUUUUAAAUAAUUAAGUGAAAAAAUGGAGCUAGAGAUCUUUUUAUUUUCUUUCAGCUGACUUUUGUGGGAAGAGGAGGAAUGAAAAGCUGUUAGAUUUGUGUUUUGUGUGUGUGUGUGUGUGUGUGUGUGUGACUGCAUAAACGUAACUUCUUCUAAGAUAUAUGGACACUUACGUCUUUCUAUUAGAAUAAUUCUUACUGUAGGAUGAUGAAACACGAUGAAGGAAAAAAAAACAACAACUGUGCUAUCAGAUUGAGAGAAUAGGUUUCUGGAUUUGAAUGCUAAUACUUGGUGCUUCUGCCCAAUGCGUAAUGCAGGACUUCCACGAAUACGCAUGGGAUGGCCACAGAUUAUUAUUAUUAUUAUUAUUUUUUUUUUACAAAAAGCAUCUAUUAGUUCUCUUCAAUCAUUCCUAAACUUCAGAAAGCGCUUGCCAGACUUUUAAUACCUUUCUCUCCGCAUCAAAUUCAACGAGUGGCCACAAGUUAUCAAGCAUCCUUGGCUUUUCAUGGCUCGUCCUCACUAAAUCUAAACUGCAAGUGGAAUCUGGACAUCUGUGUCGUUUCGCUUUUUUCAAACUUCGUUCUUUUAAGACAAACCAUUUCAUGAUGGGGAGAUCUGCGAGGAAAGGGUUACUUUUUCCUCCUGAAGAGGAACCGAACCAGUCUGAGACCGUGACUCAGGAUCCUGGGCCUCAACAGGACCCUGCCGGCCGUGGGCAGGAAAUCCGAGCUCAUCCAAGUACUUGUAGCUCUGAGGUCUGGAGCCGUACUGACUACUGCUGUUAUCUCAAGGGCCAGAUGCACUGAGAUGAAAGAAGAAGACCAGUGUGUACAAAGGACCCGUCCCAGCCACACUCUACCUGAGAACUUCUACUCACCCCACUUUCUUCUUGCUUUCUGGAAAUCCCCCUUACCUGAGGUGCACAGAUUGCCAGCAGGGCGGGAUGGAACAUUUUUAUGUUAUAGUCAGCAUUGAAGCUAUUUUGCUGAGGGGACAUGGGUGGAUGUGGAGAAAAACCCAGAAUAUUAAUUGAAAACCAAUUAUUCCUAGCAGCUGAAAGCUCCCUUUGGCAGUUUGAGAACAGCUUUUUAAAUAAUAGUGUAGAAAAUGUAUCAUUCAGAAAAUUCAAUUCACUAAAGUAGAGAAAUGG